rnacentral:rRNA from 1 species
AACGAACGCUGGCGGCAUGCCUAACACAUGCAAGUCGAACGAGACCUUCGGGUCUAGUGGCGCACGGGUGCGUAACGCGUGGGAACCUGCCCUUAGGUUCGGAAUAACUCCCCGAAAGGGGUGCUAAUACCGGAUAAUGUCUUCGGACCAAAGAUUUAUCGCCUUUGGAUGGGCCCGCGUUGGAUUAGCUAGUUGGUAGGGUAAAAGCAUACCAAGGCGACGAUCCAUAGCUGGUCUGAGAGGAUGAUCAGCCACACUGGGACUGAGACACGGCCCAGACUCCUACGGGAGGCAGCAGUGGGGAAUAUUGGACAAUGGGCGAAAGCCUGAUCCAGCAAUGCCGCGUGAGUGAUGAAGGCCUUAGGGUUGUAAAGCUCUUUUACCCGGGAUGAUAAUGACAGUACCGGGAGAAUAGGCUCCGGCUAACUCCGU